UACGGAGGGUGCGAGCGUUGUCCGGAAUCACUGGGCGUAAAGGGCGCGUAGGUGGCGUGGUAAGUCUGGUGUGAAAUCCCGGGGCUCAACCCCGGAACUGCACUGGAUACUGCCAUGCUUGAGUACUGGAGAGGAGAUUGGAAUUUACGGUGUAGCAGUGAAAUGCGUAGAUAUCGUAAGGAAGACCAGUGGCGAAGGCGAAUCUCUGGACAGUUACUGACACUGAGGCACGAAGGCCAGGGGAGCAAACGGG
rnacentral:rRNA from 1 species